rnacentral:sRNA from 1 species
CAUUGAGAGAAUUUAAAAUGAAGUUGUGGGGCCCGCGGCUUCCUUUUUCGACGACAACGUGUAAAAGUAGUGAGCACCGAAGGUGAGACACAACAGCAAUAAAAGGCAAAACAGAAUGUUGAAGAAAAAGUGAAAAGAGUUGAACAAAACGGAGAAAACGAUUUGAACGUGUUACGGUUUGGGAUAAAUAGUUACGCAGGAUUUUUCGUUUUAAUAACUAAAUCAAGGCCUACUGCGAGCUAAACCAAACCCAAAUCGAAAAAAAGCAAAGCAAAACAAAAACAAAAAAUGGAAAAAUACAAAAGUCGCACGUAAAUAACUGUUGUUUUGCUUCUUCCUCUUUCUGCUAAGCGGAAGUUGUAAAAAUGCGCUUAUGAAUGAAAAUGCACGCAAUGCAAACACAAACAGAAACGCAAGAGGCCCAACAACAAAUUCAAAACAGAAAAGCAAAUGCAAAUGCAAACUGCAAACAUUCCAAUUGGAGUAAACGAACUUUUUCGCAAAGGCAAAAAUUUCCACGACGAAUGAACAGGAACACACACGAACAAGAAAACGAUGAUGACGUUGUUGUUGGCAGCUAUUGAACGAAUUUAGAGCGAAGCACAAGAACGCAAUGAAAACGAAACCACAAACACAACAAUUUAUGAAACAAAAACUUUACUGCUGCUGCUUCCUUUUAUUUAUUUAUUUUUUAUGUAAUUUGUUUGGCCUUUUGCGGUGUAUUUAAUCGCACAGAGAGCAAAGCGCGAACACAUACAUUGAUAAUCAAAACAUACAUACACACACAAGUUUGGGGCGUUUCGCAUGUAUAUGUGUGUGUUUUUGUGUGCGUGCGUCUGUUUUGAGCGAAACGCGUGCACAAUCGAAACGAAACGAAACGUCCGGUUUCAAAGCGUCACAAAAACUAAUCAGAAGUGAAAAACACAAAAUGAUGUGGGCCCCAACAAGCCAGCAGCAGGCAGCCGCAGCCGCAGCACCAGCGCACGAGAGAGCUGCGAAUAGAGCAAGAGAGAGCGAGCCGAGUCAAGCCGAACCGACUCGAUGUUAUGUGCAUAAUGGGGCCACAGCAGCGCAGCCGCCGCUCAAUGAGAUUUGUGGUUAUUGUUGUUGCUCGGCGCUGGCGCCUUCAAUUUUUUUCUUCUUUACAAGGCGAACAAGUUGUGCGUCAGGUCGUGAGAGCACACAGCGGCCAAGAGAGAGAGAGAGAGAGCGCAAGCGAGCACGCACAAGAGAACGAACCUAAGCGCCUGGUAAUUGUAGGUUUUAAUGCUUCAUAAUUGUUGUUGUUGCUGUCUGUAUAUAUGUACAUACGUACAUAUGUAAUAGUGUCUAGGCUUUGCCAUAGACAUAAAUGGCAUCCACAUAACAAUCGCCCCCCCGACCCCUUGAAAUUAAAUGCUACCUUCCACAACAAUUCAAUCCACACACCGAGAGAGAGAGAGCGCGCCAGUAAGCGGUUUGUUUUCGUUGCUCUUUUUCUGUUGUGUUUUUGUUUUAAAGAGGCACCCGCAUUCCUAACUGUAAACAAGCAAGAAGAAGAAUGCAUGCGCUGCCGCUGCCUGGAAAAACUCGUUUUUCCCGCUGGAAAAAUGUGUGCACACACACAAACACACACGAAGCAUACAACAAAAAUAAAAACAACACAAAAAGAAUUUCAAGAAUUUGUAGCCCACAAGAGAGCGCGUAAAACGACGUCGACUUCGAGAUGUAAAAAUAAACAACAAAAGUCGGGUGGAAAAACACGAAGCAUACAUGCAUACACACACACACACACACACACACACAUGGAUACGCACACGCAUAUCGAGCGUGUGUAGGUAGGCGAGACAAGGACAAGGAAGCGGAGAACAAAACAAAAUGUGUGUGUGUGUGUGUGUAUGUGUUGAACGAAAACGAAGGCAAAAGACAAGACACAACACAGGAGACAAUAAUAACACUACUAAAAACAACAACAACGGCUGGGAAAAAGCCUGUAGUAAACAAAACAAAUGGCGGGCGCGGCUGCGACGGCAACUGAGACGCCGACGGCGACGUCAACGUCAAUGUAAAUAAAUAUUAUAAAAUAUGCAUUGGUGUAUGUGUGUAUGUGUGUGUGACAUGCACAAGUGAAAGGCGCAAAAGGAAACAGAGUGGGAGUGGGCAGAGCGGGAAGCUGGAGAGCGGGCAAUGAGCAGCGGUAAGGGAAGGGGAACAGAGGCCAAUUACAGUAAAAAUGAA